GCAUAUCAAUAAGCGGAGGAAAAGAAACCAACAGGGAUUGCCCCAGUAACGGCGAGUGAAGCGGCAACAGCUCAGAUUUGGAAUCUGGCCCCCAGGGCCCGAGUUGUAAUCUGGAGAGGAUGCUUCUGGCGCGGCGCCUUCCGAGUUCCCUGGAACGGGACGCCGGAGAGGGUGAGAGCCCCGUACGGUUGGACGCCUAGCCUUUGUGAAGCUCCUUCGACGAGUCGAGUAGUUUGGGAAUGCUGCUCAAAAUGGGAGGUAAAUUUCUUCUAAAGCUAAAUACCGGCCAGAGACCGAUAGCGCACAAGUAGAGUGAUCGAAAGAUGAAAAGCACUUUGAAAAGAGGGUCAAACAGUACGUGAAAUUGUUGAAAGGGAAGCGCCCGUGGCCAGACUUGUGCCCCGCGGACCACCCGGCGCCCUCAGCGCCGGUGCACUCCGCGGGGCGCAGGCCAGCAUCGGUUUUCCUAGGGGGAUAAAGGCGGCGGGAACGUGGCUCCUUCGGGAGUGUUAUAGCCCGUCGUGCCAUGCCCCUGGGGGGACCGAGGACCGCGCUUCGGCAAGGAUGCUGGCGUAAUGGCCACCGGCGACCCGUCUUGAAACACGGACC
rnacentral:rRNA from 1 species